UACGUAGGCAGCGAGCGUUGUUCGGAGUUACUGGGCGUAAAGAGCGUGUAGGCGGCCCGGUAAGUCCGCUGUGAAAAGUCCAGGGCUCAACCCUGGGAUGCCGGUGGAUACUGUCGGGCUCGAGUCCGGAAGAGGAGUGUGGAAUUCCUGGUGUAGCGGUGAAAUGCGCAGAUAUCAGGAGGAACACCAAUGGCGAAGGCAGCACUCUGGGACGUGACUGACGCUGAGACGCGAAAGCGUGGGAGCAAACAGG
rnacentral:rRNA from 1 species